rnacentral:antisense_RNA from 1 species
CCAUUUCUUCCCACCUUCUACUCCCAGCAAAAAAUGGAGCCCGACAUCACCCUCCCCACUUUGCUUGCUAAGCUGCAGCGCAGAAGGCACCACUACUGCGCCCCCCAGCAUGCUUUUUGGAGAGGACUGGAGCACACUGGGACGUUCAUGUGAGAAUCUGCAUGUGCCCCUCUCUGGAAUUUGAGGGAAGUACAUGGACACAGACUGCGUCUUGUUCCAACAUUUCCUUAGACAUGUCUGAAAGCCAGAAAGUGGCUGGCUGGAGCAAAUGGUCCCAUCAGGGAAAAGAAGGAGCAUGCACAACAUGAGGGGAAUGGGAGAGAAGGAAGUGGCUGCACUAUGCUACCGUUUCUGUGGUACCAUGUGACCCAAUACACAGGUGGGAGGAUGAGGUGGACGCAGUAGGGAUGCCCAGGCAGUAGCCCAAGCAAGUGGAUGCCCCAUCUGGAGAGAGGAAGUCAGGGAAGAAGAUUGCCUUCAGGAGACAAAGGAGAUACAGCUAUUGUCUCUAAGAAUCCUCAUGGAUGAUGGCCGUGCGCAGUGGCUCACGCUUGUAGUCCCAGCACUUUGGGAAGCUGAGGCGGGUGAAUAACCUGAGGGCAGUAGUCUGAGACCAGCCUGGUCAACACAGCAAAACCCCGUCUCUACUAAAAAUGCAAAAAUUAGCUGGCCAGCCAUGGUGGCGCAUGCCUGU